AUUGAACGCUGGCGGCAUGCCUAACACAUGCAAGUCGAACGGCAGCACAGCAGUAGCAAUACUGUGGGUGGCGAGUGGCGGACGGGUGAGGAAUACGUCGGAAUCUGCCCAGUCGUGGGGGAUAACUAGCCGAAAGGUUAGCUAAUACCGCAUACGACCGAGAGGUGAAAGCGGGGGACCGCAAGGCCUCGCGCGAUUGGAUGAGCCGACGUCGGAUUAGCUAGUUGGCGGGGUAAAGGCCCACCAAGGCGACGAUCCGUAGCUGGUCUGAGAGGAUGAUCAGCCACACUGGAACUGAGACACGGUCCAGACUCCUACGGGAGGCAGCAGUGGGGAAUAUUGGACAAUGGGCGCAAGCCUGAUCCAGCAAUGCCGCGUGUGUGAAGAAGGCCUUCGGGUUGUAAAGCACUUUUAUCAGGAACGAAAAGCGUUGGAUUAAUACUCUGACGUGCUGACGGUACCUGAGGAAUAAGCACCGGCUAACUUCGUGCCAGCCGCCGCCGUAA
rnacentral:rRNA from 1 species